rnacentral:rRNA from 1 species
GAGCUGAAUUCCAGAUUCCUUCGGGGUGAUUUGUUGGACGCUAGCGGCGGAUGGGUGAGUAACACGUGGGCAAUCUGCCCUAAAGACUGGGAUACCACUUGGAAACAGGUGCUAAUACCGGAUAACAACAUGAAUCGCAUGAUUCAAGUUUGAAAGGCGGCGCAAGCUGUCACUUUAGGAUGAGCCCGCGGCGCAUUAGCUAGUUGGUGGGGUAAAGGCCUACCAAGGCAAUGAUGCGUAGCCGAGUUGAGAGACUGAUCGGCCACAUUGGGACUGAGACACGGCCCAAACUCCUACGGGAGGCAGCCCUACGGAAUCUUCCACAAUGGACGCAAGUCUGAUGGAGCAACGCCGCGUGAGUGAAGAAGGUUUUCGGAUCGUAAAGCUCUGUUGUUGGUGAAGAAGGAUAGAGGCAGUAACUGGUCUUUAUUUGACGGUAAUCAACCAGAAAGUCACGGCUAACUACGUGCCAGCAGCCGCGGUAAUACGUACGUGGCAAGCGUUGUCCGGAUUUAUUGGGCGUAAAGCGAGCGCAGGCGGAAUGAUAAGUCUGAUGUGAAAGCCCACGGCUCAACCGUGGAACUGCAUCGGAAACUGUCAUUCUUGAGUGCAGAAGACGAGAGUGGAACUCCAUGUGUAGCGGUGGAAUGCGUAGAUAUAUGGAACAACACCAGUGGCGAAAGCGGCUCUCUGGUCUGCAACUGACGCUGAGGCUCGAAAGCAUGAGUAGCGAACAUGAUUAGAUACCCUG